rnacentral:rRNA from 1 species
AGAUUGAACGCUGGCGGCAGGCCUAACACAUGCAAGUCGAGCGGUAGAGAGGUGCUUGCAUCUCUUGAGAGCGGCGGACGGGUGAGUAAUGCCUAGGAAUCUGCCUAGUGGUGGGGGAUAACGUUCGGAAACGGACGCUAAUACCGCAUACGUCCUACGGGAGAAAGCGGGGGACCUUCGGGCCUCGCGCCAUUAGAUGAGCCUAGGUCGGAUUAGCUAGUUGGUGAGGUAAUGGCUCACCAAGGCGACGAUCCGUAACUGGUCUGAGAGGAUGAUCAGUCACACUGGAACUGAGACACGGUCCAGACUCCUACGGGAGGCAGCAGUGGGGAAUAUUGGACAAUGGGCGAAAGCCUGAUCCAGCCAUGCCGCGUGUGUGAAGAAGGUCUUCGGAUUGUAAAAGCAACUUUAAAGUUGGAGGAAGGUUGUAACUUAAUACGUUGCAACUUUGACGUUACCGACAGAAUAAGCACCGGCUAAACUUCGUGCCAGCAGCCGUA